ACACCCAGGUGACACCCAGGUGACACAGGUGACAGAUGACACCCAGGUGGCACUCGUGACACUCAGGUGACCCCCAGGUGACCCAGGUGACCCCCAGGUGACCCCCAGAUGACCCCCAGGUGACCCAGAUGACAGACAGGUAACACUUGGAUGACACUCAGGUGACACAGGUGACCCAGAUGACACUCAGGUGACACAGGUGACCCCCAGGUGACCCCCAGGUGCCCCAGGUGACC